UACGGGGGGGGGUAAGCGUUGUUCGGAAUUACUGGGCGUAAAGGGCUCGUAGGCGGCCAACUAAGUCAUACGUGAAAUCCCUCAGCUUAACUAGGGGAACUGCGUGUGAUACUGGAUGGCUUGGAUUUGGGAGAGGGAUGCGGAAUUCCAGGUGUAGCGGUGAAAUGCGUAGAUAUCUGGAGGAACACCGGUGGCGAAGGCGGCAUCCUGGACCAAUAUUGACGCUGAGGAGCGAAAGCCAGGGGAGCAAACGGG
rnacentral:rRNA from 1 species